ACUCCUACGGGAGGCAGCAGUGGGGAAUUUUGGACAAUGGGCGCAAGCCUGAUCCAGCAAUGCCGCGUGAGUGAAGAAGGCCUUCGGGUUGUAAAGCUCUUUCAGUUGAAAAGAAAAAGUCGUGACUAAUAAUCAUGGCUCAUGACGGUAUCAACAGAAGAAGCACCGGCUAACUACGUGCCAGCAGCCGCGGUAAUACGUAGGGUGCAAGCGUUAAUCGGAAUUACUGGGCGUAAAGGGUGCGCAGGCGGUUCUGUAAGUCAGAUGUGAAAUCCCCGGGCUUAACCUGGGAACUGCGUUUGAAACUGCAGAGCUAGAGUGCGGCAGAGGGAGGUGGAAUUCCAUGUGUAGCAGUGAAAUGCGUAGAGAUAUGGAAGAACAUCGAUGGCGAAGGCAACCUCCUGGGCUAGCACUGACGCUCAUGCACGAAAGCGUGGGGAGCAAACAGGAUUAGAUACCCUGGUAGUCCACGCCCUAAACUAUGUCAACUAGUUGUCGGGUCUUAAUAGACUUGGUAACGUAGCUAACGCGUGAAGUUGACCGCCUGGGGAGUACGGUCGCAAGAUUAAAACUCAAAGGAAUUGACGGGGACCCGCACAAGCGGUGGAUUAUGUGGAUUAAUUCGAUGCAACGCGAAAAACCUUACCUACCCUUGACAUGUCAGAAAAUUUUCAGAGAUGAAUUUGUGCCCGAAAGGGAAUCUGAACACAGGUGCUGCAUGGCUGUCGUCAGCUCGUGUCGUGAGAUGUUGGGUUAAGUCCCGCAACGAGCGCAACCCUUGUCAUUAAUUGCCAUCAUUAAGUUGGGCACUUUAAUGAGACUGCCGGUGAUAAACCGGAGGAAGGUGGGGAUGACGUCAAGUCCUCAUGGCCCUUAUGGGUAGGGCUUCACACGUAAUACAAUGGCG
rnacentral:rRNA from 1 species